rnacentral:rRNA from 1 species
CCCCUAGAUGUUCUGGGCCGCACGCGCGCUACACUGAACAGUUCAACAAGUCUUAACCUUGGCCGAUAGGUCUGGGUAAUCUUUGAACGCUGUUCGUGAUUGGGAUAGACCUUUGCAAUUAUGGGUCUUCAACGAGGAAUUCCAAGUAAACGCAAGUCAUCAGCUUGCAUUGAUUACGUCCCUGCCCUUUGUACACACCGCCCGUCGCACCUACCGAUUGAAUGGUCCGGUGAAAUCUCGGGACGGCGGCUUGGUCGCUUGCGUCCGACUGCUGAAACUUGAUUAAACCAUAUCAUUUAGAGGAAGGUGAANUCGUANCA